rnacentral:rRNA from 1 species
AUUGAACGCUGGCGGCGGGCUUAACACAUGCAAGUCGAACGAGUGGCGGACGGGUGAGUAAUGCUUGGGAAUCUCGCUUAUGGAGGGGGAUAACUACGGGAAACUGUAGCUAAUACCGCGUACCAUAGGCUGAGCCCAGGUGGGAUUAGGUAGUAGGUGGGGUAAAGGCUCACCAAGUCGACGAUCCCUAGCUGAUCUGAGAGGAUGACCGGCCACACGGGAACUGAGACACGGCCCAGACUCCUACGGGAGGCAGCAGUGGGGAAUAUUGCACAAUGGGCGCAAGCCUGAUGCAGCCAUGCCGCGUGUGUGAAGAAGGCCUUCGGGUUGUAAAGUACUGUCAGUCGGGAGGCGUUACCGACAGAAGAAGCACCGGCUAACUCCGUGCCAGCAGCCGCGGUAAUAC